rnacentral:tRNA from 1 species
GGCCGAUUGGGCUAUGGGUAGGCCUUCUGACUCUCGAUCAGACAGAGCGGGUUCGAGUCCCGCAUUGGCUGC